rfam:Ictidomys tridecemlineatus contig015966, whole genome shotgun sequence.
GGGAUUGUAGCUCAGUGGUAGAGUGCUUGCCUAGUAAGUAUGAGUCACUGGGUUUUAUCCUCAGCAUCUCA